rnacentral:rRNA from 1 species
GCCUGNUGAGCGACGCCGCGUGGGGGAUGAAUGGCUUCGGCCCGUAAACCCCUGUCAUUUGCGAACAAAUUGCUCUACCUAACACGUGGUGCAUUGAUAGUAGCGAAAGAGGAAGGGACGGCUAACUCUGUGCCAGCAGCCGCGGUAAUACAGAGGUCCCAAGCGUUGUUCGGAUUCACUGGGCGUAAAGGGUGCGUAGGUGGUGGGGUAAGUCGGAUGUGAAAGCUCGGAGCUCAACUCCGAAAUGGCAUUGGAAGCUACCCUGCUAGAGGGUCGGAGGGGGGACUGGAAUUCUUGGUGUAGCAGUGAAAUGCGUAGAUAUCAAGAGGAACACCAGUGGCGAAGGCGAGUCCCUGGACGACUCCUGACACUGAGGCACGAAAGCUAGGGGAGCAAACAGGAUUAGAUACCCUGGUAGUCCUAGCCGUAAACGGUGCACGUUUGCUGUAAAAGGAAUCGACCCCUUUUGUGGCGUAGCCAGCGCGUUAAACGUGCCGCCUGGGAAGUACGGUCGCAAGAUUAAAACUCAAAGAAAUUGACGGA